rnacentral:tRNA from 1 species
GGCGGGGUAGAUCAGUUGGUAGAUCAGCGGACUCAUAUUCCGCGCGUCGGUGGUUCGAGUCCACUCCCCGCUACCA